ACACUCCUACGGGAGGCAGCAGUGGGGAAUUUUGGACAAUGGGCGAAAGCCUGAUCCAGCAAUGCCGCGUGAGUGAAGAAGGCCUUCGGGUUGUAAAGCUCUUUUGUCAGGGAAGAAACGGUGAAAGCUAAUAUCUUUUGCUAAUGACGGUACCUGAAGAAUAAGCACCGGCUAACUACGUGCCAGCAGCCGCGGUAAUACGUAGGGUGCAAGCGUUAAUCGGAAUUACUGGGCGUAAAGCGUGCGCAGGCGGUUUUGUAAGUCUGAUGUGAAAUCCCCGGGCUCAACCUGUGAAUUGCAUUGGAGACUGCAAGGCUAGAAUCUGGCAGAGGGGGGUAGAAUUCCACGUGUAGCAGUGAAAUGCGUAGAUAUGUGGAGGAACACCGAUGGCGAAGGCAGCCCCCUGGGUCAAGAUUGACGCUCAUGCACGAAAGCGUGGGGAGCAAACAGGAUUAGAUACCCGAGUAGUCCC
rnacentral:rRNA from 1 species